rnacentral:lncRNA from 1 species
ACAACUUCUGCGUGCGAUGGCCCGGCCGGCCGCCCUGGCCACAGGAGCCAGAGGAGCCCAGAGAAGCCCACGCCACCCAGGGAUUCCAGCUCGACGGAGCGGCCACGCCGGGACCAGGAUGCACUCCAGGGUGGGCCAGGAGAAAAGAGAAAAGACAGCUUGGUGAUGACUAAGAAGCCUUCUCUCCUCAGACAUGGUGGGAUGUACUCUGAUCUAGAGCAGGCAGCUGGCCAGAGGCCCACAGGGAGCUCAGUGAUUGGCCUCAGAUGACCUUGGGGACAAAGGAGUUCCCUGCUGGGGAUGUCUGGAGGUAAAGUUGGAAGAUCCUCUCUCCUCCCCGUUUCUCUCUUCCCAGAGAGCAACAGUUCCUAGUUUCAGCCCUGAUGAUACCUGAAUGGAAUUCAUAGGACAGCAACCGCCCCACGUGCAAGUGCAAGCGGCUUACAGACUAUCUCUCUUGUCUUUAGAUUGUCCUGUGAAGGGAAGUGAUGGCACAGGCUCUGAUCAGCUCUUCUGGGAACAGACAGAGAAGUGAGAAUUCCUGCCAAAGCCACAGGAUGAACACAGAGCCAAGAACCUGAACCAGAAAAAUCCAGCAGGAAAGGAACCUGCACUAGCCACCAUCCUGAGGCUGCUGUACAGGGAGCAAUCCUACCGCAGGGACUUGGCAGGAGACCAGGGGCCUGCUCCCCAGUCCUCCUCGAGGGCCUCUGUCACCGACCUGCUUGUCUAGGAUCUCCUUUCUUUCUGCUUGUGCCACAUCUUUCAGGCCUGUUCUGGGUCUGAUGUGCUAUAGAACACUCUGUUCAGGCACUUGGGAAAUAGAGACUUCAUCACCAGCAUUUCCACCCCCAAAGAACUAGGCAGCACACUGGGAAGUUGCCAAAGGAAGGGACUCCAGCCUCCCAGGAGUUAACAACAUUUCUCCCCAGCUAUCCUCCCCUUGGUGCUCCUCUUCCUCCCUCCUCCUGCUCACAGCAGGCAGGGCCUGGAACCAGGAGCCAUGCUGCUGUGCUGUUGCCAGGGGAGCUGGGAGGCAGAUCGGAGCUAUGCAGGGAAAAGGCUCGGCCUGUCAGAGUGUCUGAGAUGAACCACCGCCAUCCCUGUGCAGCUGGGCUCCAUGUGUCUCAGGGCUCUUGUUCUGUGCCUGAGAACGGUGAAGCCCAGCGAGGUUCAAGGGCACACUCGCUAUUCAUCAGUCGGGGGUUCUUGACGGUCCUGCCUCUCCCAGGGAUGGGUUCCCCCCUUCCUCUUUCUCUCCCUCCUAUGAUACAUUCCUGGGUGCCUGUGGUGAGGACUGCACACCCCCUUCUCCACAGCCCCCCCAAACCCUGAAUCAACUCCUAUUAAGGAGGCCAGGCGAGACAGGGACAAUGGCUUCAAGAAAUCAUUCAGGCGGGACCUCAGUCACAUUCGCAUGCCCGUCACUCCCAGAGCCCCUGUAGAUCCCACUCUGCUGUGAUUCAGGGACCCUUGGGCCCCCAGCUUGCACAUGCCUAGACAGGAGCAGGCCACUAGGUGCUGCCCUACACAACAGGCCAGUGCAGUGUUUGUUCUCAGGGACCCUGGGGCCUCCAUCCCACUGGCUGGAUAGUGUGUGCAGUCAGUUGGAGAGCAGAAACUACAAUAUUUUCUGAAAUGUGGUAAUAUCAAGAUAUAAGAGGCACAUAUACGUGAUGACUAAUUUCACUUCAGAUAUACUGGAAAAGUUUGCUAAGAACAUGGACAAAGACCUGUGGUUGAGUAACGAGUCAUUUCAUUCCAUGGAAUAUUACACACCUGUAAGACUGUGGUAGAUCUACCUCUGCAUGCAGGCUGAUAGGGAAGGUUGCUAAUAUACUUAAGUGAAUAGAAUAAAGUACAAAACAGUCAA